rnacentral:rRNA from 1 species
GCCGGGGCACAUGGUGUUUUGGGUGGGGCAGAAACGCAAUAAGUUAUCCGCCUGGGGAGUACGGUCGCAAGAUUAAAACUCGAAGGAAUUGACGGGUGCCUGCACAAGCGGUGGAGCAUGUGGUUUAAUUAGAAGCAACGCGCAGAACCUUACCAACGUUUGACAUCCCUAUCGAGGUUACCAGAGAUGGUUUCCUUCAGUUCGGCUGGAUAGGUGACAGGUGCUGCAUGGCUGUCGUCAAAUCGUGUCGUGAGAUGUUGGGUUAAGUCCCGCAACGAGCGCAACCAUCGCCUUUAGUUGCCAGCAUUAAGUUGGGUACUCUAAAGGAACCGCCGGUGAUAAGCCGGAGGAAGGUGGGGAUGACGUCAAGUCCUCAUGGCCCUUACGCGUUGGGAUACACACGUGCUACAAUGGCGACCACAGUGGGCAGCGACCGUGCGAGCGGAAGCUAAUCUCCAAAAGUCGUCUCACACAGAUCGUUCUCUNUG